AGCAGCCGCGGUAAUUCCAGCUCCAAUAGCGUAUAUUAAAGUUGUUGCAGUUAAAAAGCUCGUAGUUGAAUUUCGGGAUUGACGUGAUGGUCGUGCCUUAAGGGGUAUGAACUGUUGCUGUUGAUUUCUCACCUUCUGGAGAAACUUGAUGUCCUUAAUUGGGUGUCUUGCGGAUCCAGGACCUUUACCUUGAAAAAUUAGAGUGUUUAAAGCAGGCAUUUUUGCUCGAAUACAUUAGCAUGGAAUAAUAGAAUAGGACGGCAUGGUUCUAUUUUGUUGGUUUCUAGGAUCACCGUAAUGAUUAAUAGGGAUAGUUGGGGGCAUUAGUAUUCAAUUGUCAGAGGUGAAAUUCUUGGAUUUAUUGAAGACUAACUACUGCGAAAGCAUUUGCCAAGGAUGUUUUCAUUAAUCAAGAACGAAAGUUAGGGGAUCGAAGACGAUCAGAUACCGUCGUAGUCUUAACCAUAAACUAUGCCGACUAGGAAU
rnacentral:rRNA from 1 species